UACGUAGGGUGCGAGCGUUGUCCGGAAUUAUUGGGCGUAAAGAGCUCGUAGGCGGUCUGUCGCGUCGGAUGUGAAAACUCGGGGCUCAACCCCGAGCCUGCAUUCGAUACGGGCAGACUAGAGUUCGGUAGAGGAGAGUGGAAUUCCUGGUGUAGCGGUGAAAUGCGCAGAUAUCAGGAAGAACACCCGUGGCGAAGGCGGCUCUCUGGGACGGUACUGACGCUGAGACGCGAAAGCGUGGGGAGCGAACAGG
rnacentral:rRNA from 1 species